rnacentral:snoRNA from 1 species
UAGUAAAUAUUUGUACAAUAGCUACAAACAGCAGCCCCCUUGAAAGGUAUGAAGCCUUUUGCUUGUAUGGUUGUUCUAAGGAUCCUUGGAGAUGGCC